GUCCGAGUUCGUCGAACUCGUCGUCAAUUCAAUUAUGAAUCAAGAGAUGAACCGAUUUUGGAUCCAAUGGCUAAGUUUCGGACGGAAAUAUUUUUUUACGUGAUUGACACUGCCAUUAAUUCAGUCGUUGAAAGAAACUUGACGAUUACCAAUUGAAAACAUGUUGUACUGCCUUAAAUAACGCAUUGUCCGUCGGAGAAAAAUGCGACAUUUCUCCAGAUGAUCUUUUUAUCGAAUUGCGAUCUCUCUCCCAUCGAUUUCCUUUACCAAGCGAAGACGGAAAAAUAAUUGAUUCUUGUCCUCUUGCUGCCUUGACCUUUAUCGUUCAAAAUGGAUUGUCGUCAGUUUAUCCUAAUACUGUGAUUGCAUUACGAAUUUUGCUGACCCUUCCAGUUUCUGUUGCGCAAGGAGAAAGAAGUUUUUGCAAAUUGAAACUAAUAAAAACAUAUCUUCGCUCAUUAAUGGGACAAGAAAAACUAGAUGGGUUAGCAAUGAUUUCAAUCGAAAGAGAAAUUGUCGAAAAUAUUGAUCUCAAUGAAGCGAUUGAGGAAUUUGCCCAAAAAAAAUCGCGUAAAGUGCCGAUCUAAGUCUCACUAUUCGAUUUGCAAUUCAAUUUGCAAGAUAUUCUCGUGUCUCGUCAUUUAUCAGCAAUCUUGUAUCGUGUAUGAUUUUAAGUGAUACUGUUAUUUAUCCAGAAAUAUAACUAAUCCAGAUGUUAACUAAAGCUUAUGUUAAAAUCAACUAUAUGUUUUCGUAUAUAAAUUUUUUUAAGGGGCGGCAAAGCCGGGAAAAAAAAUUUGCACUCCUGUCAUUUUAGGGUCGGGGAGGCCCUGGUAUUGAGAUCCGCGAUUUUGUUUAUAAGAGCCUAGCAAUAUUGAAUAAAAAGAGGAUUAAUAAUAAAAUGUAUUAGUAACUUUUUAUUUUACUUACUACUGAACGUCUGGGGUGUGUGUCUAACCAUUGAUUUUCCUUUGCAGUGCAAGGUAGUGAUGUAGCACUAAUUACACUGUAAAGAACUGCACAAACAUGACAGCAAACACCACCAAGCCUGCAAUGAAACGUAAGGUAGUUUGUUAGUUAAAUGUUGCUUUAUGCUAUGAAUUAUGAACACAUAACUCACCCAGCUGUACACUGGCAAUGGCCAGCAAUUAUGGUUUUAUUGCUACUAAUACUUCCCCAAGGCAUCAGUUCCUUUUUUCUAAGAGACUGUGAGUGGUGAACUUGUGCUUUUACAAGAACUUUGCCAUCCUCCAAAUGGAUUGCUGAGAGCGCAGAGACCCAACCACUUUCCACGUACUUGAUUGCUUCAUGUAUGGUCUUGAUUGCAUUAAGUUGCAUUUUUGUAUCCCUGCUCCGUCUUACAAUUAAAUACAUGUAAAGCUCAUGCUCUCUUAUAGGUGGUAAAAACUUUUCAAUAACACUGAUAGUUUUCUGCCACAUUUCUUUUGGCAGUACCACAGACCAAGAAUAGAAAGACUGUGAUCGGCCUAUACGUCCCCAUAAACCAUGCUCGUGCCUGCCGCAAGUUGGCGCUGCCUCUGCAAGCCGUACUUUUUUGCGGAUUUUUCCGUUUCCCUACUGAUUAGAUGCUUCACACACCCGGGAUUUGUGAAUAAACUAAGAUAGAUAA